CAGCUUCACCAUCACCUGCUCCACUCAGCCACAGUACCCAGGAGGCUUCUUCCUCCUCACGUUCACCGGCUCCAACAGAACCCAGACCCAGCCAGCUCUCAAUCACUCUGCUGCCUUCCUCUUCCCUGCUGCAGAUGACUCCCACCAAGGGAACUACAGCUGUGUUUAUGACAAUCAUGUUUUCUCUCAUGACUUCUCCUCUGAGAGUGAGCUCCUCUCCCUCACCAUCACAGCCUCUCCUCUGCCAGCCUUCGUCAUCAGACACGUUGUAGUGCUGCUGAUCCUACUGACAGGCAUCACCACCUCCUACCUGUACUACAAGCCCACCAGGAGGCAGAAGAGAGUGAACAGGGUGAGCAGCAUGGAUCUUUAUGUCAAUGCCAUGGAGAUGGUCUCUCUGAGCUCCAGAGCUGAAGCUGGACCGGGAGAGGAGAGAGCAGCCCAGGGGACGGAGUAGGAGUAGAAUGAAGCUGACCCUACAUGCUGAUCUUAGGUCAGUUUUGUGUUUUAAAUGGAUGGUCAGCAGUGGACUGGUGUUUAAAAUGUGGUGACAAACCUGAAGUGGUUCUAAUUUUAAUAACAAGUUCAGAAUUAGUUUAUCUUUCUAGAACCUUGGAAGAAAUCUAAAAGGAGUGACUGUAACCACCAUUAUUCCUUUUAGUUUGGUUUUUACCACCAGAGAAACAUGGGGUUCUGGGUAACAUGGGGUUCUGGGUAACAUGGGGUUCUGGGUAACAUGUGGUUUUGGG
rnacentral:lncRNA from 1 species